CCUACGGGGCGCUGCAGUGAGGAAUAUUGGUCAAUGGACGAGAGUCUGAACCAGCCAAGUAGCGUGAAGGAUGACUGCCCUAUGGGUUGUAAACUUCUUUUAUAUGGGAAUAAAACGUUCCACGUGUGGGAUUUUGUAUGUACCAUAUGAAUAAGGAUCGGCUAACUCCGUGCCAGCAGCCGCGGUAAUACGGAGGAUCCGAGCGUUAUCCGGAUUUAUUGGGUUUAAAGGGAGCGUAGGUGGAUUGUUAAGUCAGUUGUGAAAGUUUGCGGCUCAACCGUAAAAUUGCAGUUGAAACUGGCAGUCUUGAGUACAGUAGAGGUGGGCGGAAUUCGUGGUGUAGCGGUGAAAUGCUUAGAUAUCACGAAGAACUCCGAUUGCGAAGGCAGUUCACUGGACUGCAACUGACACUGAGGCUCGAAAGUGUGGGUAUCAAACAGGAUUAGAUACCCUAGUAGUC
rnacentral:rRNA from 1 species